AUGGCGCAACUUUUGGUGAGCUCGUCCGCCGGGGCCAUGGGCUCCGUCCUUGGAAAGUUGGGAAUCAUGUUAAGUGAUGAAUACAAGUUGCUAAAGGGCGUUCAUGAUGACAUCAAGUUCCUCAAAGAUGAGCUCGAAGCCAUGCAAGGAUUUCUCCUGAUGAUGGCUGAUGUGGAGAAACCUGACCAACAAGCUAAGGUUCGUGUGAAUGCUGUGCGAGAGAUGUCCUACGAGAUUGAGGACACCAUCGACAAGUUUAUGCUACUCGGGGAAUCAGAUGAUUCUAGUUCUAUGUUUGAUGGCUUUGGGAAGGUUUGCAAGAAAAUCAUGAAAAAGAUAGCAGACAUCAAGACCUGCCAUAAGAUCGCCAAGGACAUUCAUGAUAUCAAGACCCAAGUUAAGGAGAUCAGCAAGAGAUACGCAAGGUACAUGGUCAAUGAGCCUUCAAGAUCAAAAAAUGAAAAUUUUGACCCUCGAAUUCGCGCCAUUUAUAAGGAUGCAUCAGAUCUUAUUGGUGUCGAUGGCCCGCGAGAUGAGAUUGUGAAGUGGUUGUGCAACAGAGAUGGUGAAUCAACAUGUCAACUAAAAGUUGUCUCUAUUGUUGGAUAUGGAGGGUUAGGCAAGACAACUCUCGCCAGACAGGUCUAUGACAAGCUUAGAACAAACUAUGAAUGUCGGGCUUUUGUAUCAAUUUCCCGAAGUCCUGAUAUGACCAAGAUUUUUAGUUCUAUAUUAUCUCAACUCCGCAACCAAGAAUUUGCUCAACCAGGGGAUCUACAGCUAACCAUUGAGCUAAUCAGGACGUUUCUACAACAUAAA
rnacentral:rRNA from 1 species